rnacentral:rRNA from 1 species
GACGAACGCUGGCGGCGUGCCUAAUACAUGCAAGUAGAACGCUGAAGGAGGAGCUUGCUUCUCUGGAUGAGUUGCGAACGGGUGAGUAACGCGUAGGUAACCUGCCUGGUAGCGGGGGAUAACUAUUGGAAACGAUAGCUAAUACCGCAUAAGAGUAGAUGUUGCAUGACAUUUGCUUAAAAGGUGCAAUUGCAUCACUACCAGUUGGACCUGCGUUGUAUUAGCUAGUUGGUGGGGUAACGGCUUACCAAGGCGACGAUACAUAGGCGACCUGGGAGGGGGGUCGGCCACCCUGGGAGGGAGACCCGGCCCAGGCUCCCUCGGGAGGGAGCAGGAGGGGAUCGUCGGGAAUGGGCGGAAGUCUGACCGAGCAACGCCGCGGGAGGGAAGAAGGGUGUCGGGUCGGAAAGCUCGGUUGUAAGGGAAGAACGAGUGUGAGAGUGGAAAGUUCACACUGUGACGGUAUCUUAUCAGAAAGCAACGGCUAACUACGUG